rnacentral:rRNA from 1 species
UACGUAGGGGGCAAGCGUUGUCCGGAUUUAUUGGGCGUAAAGAGCGUGUAGGCGGCCAGAUAGGUCAGCUGUGAAAACUCGAGGCUCAACCUCGAGACGUCGGUUGAAACCAUCUGGCUAGAGUCCGGAAGAGGAGAGUGGAAUUCCCGGUGUAGCGGUGAAAUGCGCAGAUAUCGGGAAGAACACCCAUGGCGAAGGCGGCUCUCUGGGACGGUACUGACGCUGAGACGCGAAAGCGUGGGGAGCGAACAGG